rnacentral:rRNA from 1 species
AUGUUUAAGGAAGUUUUGUUAUGUUUGCGCAAGUUAGCGAAAGAUGACAUCAAACCUACAGAUCCUACUUUUAGCCAUGAGCAUGAAAAGAUUAAGGAAGAGCAUUUCUGGCCUCAUUUCAAAGGCGCUAUUGGUGCCAUAGAUGGAUCACAUGUGCCAGUUUCAGUGCCUGCAGAUGAUGCGGUUAACCAUAGAUGUCGGCAUGGUUUCACAUCUCAGAAUGUGCUUGCAGUAUGUGACUUUGACAUGAGGUUUACCUUUGUGGUUGCGGGUUGGCCGGGCUGUGCACAUGAUACAGUGGUCUUGAAUCAUGCAUUAGCACACUUCCCUUCAUUUCCUAUACCGUAUAAUGUACUAACAGAUGUGAACAUUAGUUAUAUUCUUAUGUGUGAUGCUAACUUUGUGUUCUUUUUAGGGAAAUACUAUCUUGUGGACUCUGGGUAUCCAAACCGAACAUGA